rnacentral:rRNA from 1 species
AACGAACGCUGGCGGCAUGCCUAACACAUGCAAGUCGGACGAGACCUUCGGGUCUAGUGGCGCACGGGUGCGUAACGCGUGGGAACCUGCCCUUAGGUUCGGAAUAACUCCCCGAAAGGGGUGCUAAUACCGGAUAAUGUCUUCGGGCCAAAGAUUUAUCGCCUUUGGAUGGGCCCGCGUUGGAUUAGCUAGUUGGUAGGGUAAAAGCCUACCAAGGCGACGAUCCAUAGCUGGUCUGAGAGGAUGAUCAGCCACACUGGGACUGAGACACGGCCCAGACUCCUACGGGAGGCAGCAGUGGGGAAUAUUGGACAAUGGGCGAAAGCCUGAUCCAGCAAUGCCGCGUGAGUGAUGAAGGCCUUAGGGUUGUAAAGCUCUUUUACCCGGGAUGAUAAUGACAGUACCGGGAGAAUAAGCGCCGGCUAACUCCGUG